rnacentral:SRP_RNA from 1 species
UGCGAGUCCUUUUGCGGCACGACAUUAUGAACCCCGCCAGAUCCGGAAGGAAGCAACGGUAAUAAUCGAUGUGAGCGCGAAAUAUGGCUGGUAUGG